UUUCGUUUUCAUCAUCUCCUUUUCUAGCCAGAACAAAAUCUAACUUCACCCAAAAAAACAAAAACAAAAUAUCAAGCCAUAACCAGAAUACAAAAACAAAAUUUUCCAUGAAUCCAAAUCGAAUCUUUGCCUCUCAAACACUGCGAAUCCGCUUGAAACUGUGAAGAAAAAGGAACUUGGUUCUCCAUUUAACCAUGAAAGAAAGCUUUUUGAGUAUAUACAGUAGGUUUUGAGAGCUGCCCUGAUCAUGCACCGACCUCUAUUCUCUUUUUAAAUGACAACCACAAUACCAUGGACGAAGAAUUGCUCCUGACAAAUUGGAGUAUUCUUGAACUCUUACAACCUCAAAUGGUCAUGAAGUUUCGUGGCACAGCGCAGAAUCAAUUACCAGGUCCAUACGGAUGCAAACUGUUGAUGCACUGCGCUUGGGUGAGAGAGGCAAAGCUUCCAGUCUGCUUUUGAAUCUUGGCCGUGGGAAUGAUUCGUUAAGAGCUGAUGACUUCGUCUAUAUUCUUAAUUACUGUGCAAAGUCACCUGAUCCAUUGUUUGUCAUGAAGACUUGGAGAAUAAUGGAUGAAAAAGAGAUUAGCCUGAAUAACAUAUGCUCUUUGCUUAUUGUACAUGCUCUAUGUAAAGGAGGAUAUUUGGAGGAAGUAGGAUUCAUGCUAUAUACUCAAAAGGUAUUAUCUAGCUAGCUUAGUCAGCUGAUAAUAGUGAAACUACCUUGUUAGGAUUACUGUUGUUUACACCAUAAUCAAUCGAGCAAAUCCAGCCUCAAAGCGACUAGCACCAAAGGCACACACGUCUUCUUCCAUGCCGAAGGAAGACAAGCUCCAGACUGCCGAAGCUCCCAAAUUGCCAAACCUACUCUACAAGACACGUGUCACCACCACAGUGACUUACACAAAGUCCCACAUCGGAAAUCUACACAAA